rnacentral:rRNA from 1 species
GAGUAAUGCCUGGGAAAUUGCCUUGAUGUGGGGGAUAACCAUUGGAAACGAUGGCUAAUACCGCAUAAUGCUUUUGUUUGUAAUGAACGGAAGCCAAAGAGGGGGACCUUCGGGCCUCUCGCGUCAAGAUAUGCCCAGGUGGGAUUAGCUAGUUGGUGAGGUAAGGGCUCACCAAGGCGACGAUCCCUAGCUGGUCUGAGAGGAUGAUCAGCCACACUGGAACUGAGACACGGUCCAGACUCCUACGGGAGGCAGCAGUGGGGAAUAUUGCACAAUGGGCGCAAGCCUGAUGCAGCCAUGCCGCGUGUAUGAAGAAGGCCUUCGGGUUGUAAAGUACUUUCAGCAGUGAGGAAGGUGGAUGUGUUAAUAGCGCAUUCAUUUGACGUUAGCUGCAGAAGAAGCACCGGCUAACUCCGUGCCAGCAGCCGCGGUAAUACGGAGGGUGCGAGCGUUAAUCGGAAUUACUGGGCGUAAAGCGCAUGCAGGUGGAUGAUUAAGUCAGAUGUGAAAGCCCGGGGCUCAACCUCGGAAUAGCAUUUGAAACUGGUCAUCUAGAGUACUGUAGAGGGGGGUAGAAUUUCAGGUGUAGCGGUGAAAUGCGUAGAGAUCUGAAGGAAUACCAGUGGCGAAGGCGGCCCCCUGGACAGAUACUGACACUCAGAUGCGAAAGCGUGGGGAGCAAACAGGAUUAGAUACCCUGNNANUCCACGCCGUAAACGAUGUCUACUUGG